AGAGUUUGAUCCUGGCUCAGAUUGAACGCUGGCGGCAUGCCUUACACAUGCAAGUCGAACGGUAACAGGGAGCUUGCUCCGCUGACGAGUGGCGAACGGGUGAGUAAUGUAUCGGAACGUACCUUUCAGUGGGGGAUAACGUAGCGAAAGUUACGCUAAUACCGCAUAUUCUGUGAGCAGGAAAGCAGGGGACCUUCGGGCCUUGCGCUGAUUGAGCGGCUGAUAUCAGAUUAGCUAGUUGGUGAGGUAAAGGCUCACCAAGGCGACGAUCCGUAGCUGGUCUGAGAGGACGACCAGCCACACUGGAACUGAGACACGGUCCAGACUCCUACGGGAGGCAGCAGUGGGGAAUUUUGGACAAUGGGGGCAACCCUGAUCCAGCCAUUCCGCGUGAGUGAAGAAGGCCUUCGGGUUGUAAAGCUCUUUCGGCAGGAACGAAACGGUGGUCCUGAAUACGGGCUACUAAUGACGGUACCUGAAGAAGAAGCACCGGCUAACUACGUGCCAGCAGCCGCGGUAAUACGUAGGGUGCGAGCGUUAAUCGGAAUUACUGGGCGUAAAGCGUGCGCAGGCGGUUCUAUAAGACAGAUGUGAAAUCCCCGGGCUUAACCUGGGAACUGCGUUUGUGACUGUAGGACUUGAGUGUGGCAGAGGGGGGUGGAAUUCCACGUGUAGCAGUGAAAUGCGUAGAGAUGUGGAGGAACACCGAUGGCGAAGGCAGCCCCCUGGGUCAACACUGACGCUCAUGCACGAAAGCGUGGGGAGCAAACAGGAUUAGAUACCCUGGUAGUCCACGCCCUAAACGAUGUCAACUGGUUGUUGGGAAGGGAAACUUUCUUAGUAAC
rnacentral:rRNA from 1 species